GAAAAGGCACUGCAGCAUACGUGGUGCAUCACAACUUAUCAUUUUCAUACACAUGAAAGAUUACGCUAUCAGUAACUCAAAAUGAAAAUCUUUUAUAAAGUAUAGAGCAUAAAUCUUAAUUUCUAGAUUUCUUAGUUCAUAAUAGGCACAAAUAGCAGUUGUUAACCCCAUAUAUUGCCAUAAAAAAUACCCAUCAAAGAAUAUCAAUCAAAAUUACAAAGAACACCUCUGUUGUUGUUCCUUCUCAGC
rnacentral:misc_RNA from 1 species